CAACGAACGAAAGGAGGUGAUCCAGUGUCUCAUUGUCAUCAGCCGUCGCCGACGACCAAGGCCUGGACCGUUACCUCCGGCGUGUGCGCCUAACGCAUUCGCGGGAUUACGACAGGUUUCGUCGGACUGACCGGUUCGACAAUGGAAGGGCCGCCCCCAUCGGGGCGGCCC
rfam:Methylobacterium populi BJ001, complete genome.